UUUGUAGAAGGUGCUUCGGGUGCGACCCCGGUCCAAGUCCCUUGGAACAGGGUGUCCUAGAGGGUGAGAAUCCCGUAUGCGGCCGAUGGUCAGGCCCAUGUGAAGCCCUUUCGACGAGUCGAGUUGUUUGGGAAUGCAGCUCUAAAUGGGUGGUAAAUUUCAUCUAAAGCUAAAUAUCUGUCGAAGACCGAUAGCGCACAAGUAGAGUGAUCGAAAGAUGAAAAGCACUUUGAAAAGAGAGUCAAACAGUACGUGAAAUUGUUGAAAGGGAAGCGCUUGCAACCAGACUCGCUCGCGGGUGUUCAGCCGUCCUUAGGGGCGGUGCAUUCUCCCGCGGCCGGGCCAGCAUCGGUUUAGGCGGCCGGAUAAAGGUCUCGGGAAUGUAGCUCUUUUCGGGGAGUGUUAUAGCCUGGGGCGUAAUGCGGCCAGCUUAGACCGAGGACCGCGCAUUCGCUAGGAUGCUGGCGUAAUGGUUGCCAGCGACCCGUCUUGAAACACGGACCAAGGAGUCGACCAACCGCGCGAGUGUUUGGGUGUUAAACCCCCGGCGCGUAAUGAAAGUAAACGGAGGUGGGAGCCUUCGGGCGCACCAUCGACCGAUCCUGAUAUCUUUGGAUGGAUUUGAGUAUGAGCCCGGCUGGUCGGACCCGAAAGGUAAGAGCAUGCCCCUGCUUUGCUUUAUUAAAUUUAUAUUUACUAAUUACAUUUUUAGAUGGUGAACUAUGCGUGAAUAGGGUGAAGCCAGAGGAAACUCUGGUGGAGGCUCGCAUCGGUUCUGACGUGCAAAUCGAUCGUCAAAUUUGC
rnacentral:rRNA from 1 species